AUUGAACGCUGGCGGCAGGCCUAACACAUGCAAGUCGAGCGGAUGAAGGGAGCUUGCUCCUGGACUCAGCGGCGGACGGGUGAGUAAUGCCUAGGAAUCUGCCUGGUAGUGGGGGCUAACGUCCGGAAACGGGCGCUAAUACCGCAUACGUCCUGAGGGAGAAAGUGGGGGAUCUUCGGACCUCACGCUAUCAGAUGAGCCUAGGUCGGAUUAGCUAGUUGGUGGGGUAAAGGCCUACCAAGGCGACGAUCCGUAACUGGUCUGAGAGGAUGAUCAGUCACACUGGAACUGAGACACGGUCCAGACUCCUACGGGAGGCAGCAGUGGGGAAUAUUGGACAAUGGGCGAAAGCCUGAUCCAGCCAUGCCGCGUGUGUGAAGAAGGUCUUCGGAUUGUAAAGCACUUUAAGUUGGGAGGAAGGGCAGUAAGUUAAUACCUUGCUGUUUUGACGUUACCAACAGAAUAAGCACCGGCUAACUUCGUG
rnacentral:rRNA from 1 species